AUUGAACGCUGGCGGCAUGCCUUACACAUGCAAGUCGAACGGUAACAGGUCUUCGGAUGCUGACGAGUGGCGAACGGGUGAGUAAUACAUCGGAACGUACCUAGUAGUGGGGGAUAACUACUCGAAAGAGUGGCUAAUACCGCAUGAGAUCUACGGAUGAAAGCAGGGGAUCGCAAGGCCUUGUGCUACUAGAGCGGCCGAUGGCAGAUUAGGUAGUGGGUGGGAUAAAAGCUUACCAAGCCGACGAUCUGUGGCUGGUCUGAGAGGACGAUCAGCCACACUGGGACUGAGACACGGCCCAGACUCCUACGGGAGGCAGCAGUGGGGGAUUUUGGACAAUGGGCGCAAGCCUGAUCCAGCAAUGCCGCGUGCAGGAUGAAGGCCUUCGGGUUGUAAACUGCUUUUGUACGGAACGAAAAGCCCUGGGUUAAUACCCUGGGGUCAUGACGGUACCGUAAGAAUAAGCACCGGCUAACUACGUGCCAGCAGCCGCAGUAAAAC
rnacentral:rRNA from 1 species